AGUAUGUGGUAGUAUUAUAUUCAGUGGGUACAGUGUGUGGCGGUAUUAUAUUCAGGGGUACAGUAUGUGGCAGAUUUAUAUUCAGGGGUACAGUAUGUGGCAGAUUUAUGUUUAGAGGGCACAGUGUGUGGUAGUAUUAUAUUCAGAGGGUACAGUAUGUGGCGGUAUUAUAUUCAGGGGUACAGUAUGUGGCAGAUUUAUAUUCAGAGGGUACAGUAUGUGGCAGAUUUAUAUUCAGAGGGCGCAGUUUGUGGUGGUAUUAUAUUCAGAGGGCGCAGUGGGUGGUAGUAUUAUAUUCAGAGGGUACAGUGCGUGUUGGUAUUAUAUUCAGUGGGUACAGUGUGUGGCGGUAUUAUAUUCAGGGGUACAGUAUGUGGCAGAUUUAUAUUCAGGGGUACAGUAUGUGGCAGAUUUAUGUUUAGAGGGCACAGUAUGUGGUAGUAUUAUAUUCAGAGGGCGCAGUGCGUGGUAGUAUUAUAUUCAGAGGGCACAGUGUGUGGUAGUAUUAUAUUCAGAGGGCUCAGUGGGUGGUUGUAUUAUAUUCAGUGGGUACAGUGCGUGUUGGUAUUAUAUUCAGAAUGUACAGUGUGUGGUAGUAUUAUAUUCAGAGGGUACAGUGUGUGGCGGUAUUAUAUUCAGGGGUACAGUAUGUGUCAGAUUUAUAUUCAGAGGGUACCGUAUGUGUUGGUAUUAUAUUCAGAAUGUACAGAUGUGUGGUAGUAUUAUAUUCAGUGGGUAUGGUGUAUGGAAGGUUUAUAAUCAAAGAGUGUAGUGUAUAGUAGUAUUAUAUUUAGAGGAUACAGUGUCUGGCAGGUUUAUAAUAAUAAUUGUUUUCAUAUAGAGGAUGAGAAUGCGCUGACAUAGGGAGGAGACGUCUGGGCGUCACAUUCUACAGAAGUUUUAGCUGGACCAGGCGGAUUGGUGACAGGAGAGGUUUGCUUUGGGGAUUUUCUCCUGCUCUGGACAGUUCCUGACACGGACAGAGGUGGCAGCAGAGAGCACUGUGGUCAGACAGAAAAGAACAACAUAACUUCCUGUUGAGGAGCUGAUAAAUUUGCACUUACAGAGGAUGACGUGAUUUCUAAAUUGAAUCCUUGGGAAGUCUGAAAGGCUGUAAACAUAGAGAUGAAGAAGUCUGGUGAAAAGCCCAUGUUGACCAUCGAGUUCUCGUUACCG